rnacentral:rRNA from 1 species
CCUACGGGUGGCAGCAGUGGGGAAUAUUGGGCAAUGGGCGCAAGCCUGACCCAGCAACGCCGCGUGAAGGAAGAAGGCUUUCGGGUUGUAAACUUCUUGUCGGAGGGACGAAGAAAGUGACGGGACCGCAGGAAUAAGCCACGGCUAACGACGGGCCAGCAGCAGCGGUAAUACGUAGGUGGCACGCGUCAUCCGGAAUUAGUGGGUGUAAAGGGCGUGUAGGCGGGAAAGGAAGUCAGAUGGGAAAACUCAGGGCUCAACCCUGAGCCUGCAUUUGAAACGUUUUUUCUUGAGUGCUGGGGAGGCAAUCGGAAUUCCGUGUGUAGCGGUG